UUUGUUUCAGACCCUUGUUACUUUCUUCUGCGAACGUUAUUAUGAUUCCUGCCUAAAUUGUAAAAAAAAAAAAAAAAAUGUUAUCCCCUGUCAACCUUGUCAUGGUAUACUCCCAAGGCAAGGGGUGUGAAAGUUGCUUAACCUGUGCUGGUGUGAUGCAGGCAGCGGAAGAGCACACAUGAGCGACAAAAAGUAGAACAGCGUCAGGGUCGUUACACCAGAGCCCUUCUACCAAAUUAGCCUCCAAGGUUAGCAGAGGCCUUUUUUUAUGGAUGUCUAGAGGAGAUGCUGAACAAACUGCUUUUCAGAGGAAACAGCUCAUCAUUUAAUGAACUGACCGCCUAAACAUGUUUUACACUAAACAAUCCUUUUGGAAUGGAUUAUGUGUGGAGUUUACUACGAUACAAUUGCUGUUUUAUAAAUGAAGACGCCGACAGUUUUGCGACAGGUUUCAGUGGUGCUGAAACCCGGGAGGGAGGAGGGAUGCGCUGUCACGGAGUCCUCGCCGCUGCCAUCCACCAGGGGAGCAGCCGCUGUCGGCCUGGGGACGGAGGGGUCCCUGCCGUCCUCCGAAGAAGGGGAGGAGCAGUUCCAUCUGCCAGGGGCCGGAGAACUCGCUGGGGGGAGGAGCGAGCUGCCGUCCGCCAGAGGGCUGAGGAGCGGUUGAGGAAUGGGCGACAGUGCAUCCGGGAGCCAUUGAGCAAGUUCUUCUCUCCUCUCUCUCUCUGUGUGUCUCCACGUGCCCUUUCCCUCUCCCCAUGCCUCGUCUCACCCCCAGGGUCACAGGAGGCGGGGUGGACCACCGGCUGACAGAACGAUCGGAAGGGCAGCAUCUCCCCUCCGGGAGAUGAAUCAGGCAGGGGGUGGAGAGUGACGAGGAGGAGGGCAUGGCCGGGCCGUGAUGAUGCACGGCCGGCGCUGAAUCAGCUGAUCAGCAGGAUAGUGAGAUAAAGGGGAGCUGGAGGCACCAGUUUCAGAGAGAGAGAGAGACACACACGCGGCCACGUUGCAUUGGUGCCGAAACACGAGUGGGAAGAGGGAUGCGCUGUUGCGGAGUUCUCGCGGCUGCCAUUGCGACAGCCACAGCCGUCCGCCUGGGGACGGAGGGGUCGCUGUCGACCGCCGAGAGCCGGAGGAACAGAUGCCAUCCGCCAAAGAAGGGGAGGAGCAGUUCCGUCAGCCAGGGGCUGGAGGACUUGCUGCCAUCCACCGGGGGAGGAGCGAACUGCUGUCCGCCAGAGGGCGGAGGAGCUGUUGAGGUUGAGGUGACAGCGUGUCCGGGAGGUGGCAAGCAAGUUCUUCUCACUCUCUCUUGAACUGGCGCCUCCGGCUCCCCUUUAUCUCACUCUCCCGCUGAUCAACUGUUUCAGCGCUGCCAUGCCCUCCUCGUCGUCACAGUAAUCUGACUACAAGAAUUUAAAAUAUAAUGAGUUACACAAAAUUUUGUGCCUAAAGUAAUUAGAUUACAGUAACUGAUUACAGCCAGCAAACUUGUGUUUUUUUAAGCAUAAUCUGAGGUAAAGAAGCACAAUUUAUGAUUCCAGUGUUGUCAGAUUUUACUGCUGAUUUGAAAUAUGUUCUUUGAUCGUAAUCUUGACCAAAGGUUUUUUAGAUUUCAGUGUUCCCCCAUCCAACUAGGUGCACAUGCAUGACUGUGGAUUGACUGGCUAGAAAGAUUUUGCUAUUACACUCUCUCCUAUGGUAAUAGCGUGGAGGUUGUAAUAUCUGAUUAGAAGAUCUCUGGUCAUCCCAUCCUCGCUGUUUUCAAUCGUUUAUUUAUGUUAACAUGGAAGAUGUGAUCCAGACGUUUAAAGAUGUGGCAAGAUGGCUUUCGCCACUUUUGUUUUGAGAGAUUUUUGUACAGAGAAAGGAGAAAAUAUCAUAUACAACACUGCUGAAUUUUUCAGAAAUCCCUGAAACUGAUCCAGGUGCUGAAACAUUAGGUGUUUCAUCAAUAUCUGUUCAAUUUACCUUAUUAAACUAAACUAAAGCAACACAAUUCUAGAACAUUUUGUCACAACUUGAUUUCAUUGUGUUCUAUCCAUUUACAUUUGUAAAAUGUGAGUUUACUUAAUCCAUUUGAGUUGGGACUGAAUACUUUUUGUGGUGUUAAUGUAUCAUUGAUAAAAUCCUGGGGAUUUCCAUUUCCAGCAUGCUUUACAUGAGACUUUAAAUGUUAAAAUUAAGUGUUUUUUUGUGUAUGUUUGUGCAAGAUGAAUAUAA